rnacentral:rRNA from 1 species
UGGUGGUUGUGGUCGAGAGUGGCUUAGGUUGCUCUGGUUUCACAAUGAUUAGGUGCUCAUGCUGAUGUAAGUCAGUUAUUUGAGUACUUUGCUGGAUUGAACUUAAGAGUUUGAUCCUGGCUCAGAUUGAACGCUGGCGGCAUGCUUUACACAUGCAAGUCGAACGGCAGCGGGGGCUUCGGCCUGCCGGCGAGUGGCGAACGGGGUGAGUAAUGCAUCGGAACGUGCCCAUGUCGUGGGGGAUAACGUAUCGAAAGGUACGCUAAUACCGCAUACGUCCUGAGGGGAGAAAGCGGGGGAUCUUCGGACCUCGCGCGAUUGGAGCGGCCGAUGUCGGAUUAGCUAGUAGGUGAGGUAAAGGCUCACCUAGGCGACGAUCCGUAGCGGGGUCUGAGAGGAUGAUCCGCCACACUGGGACUGAGACACGGCCCAGACUCCUACGGGAGGCAGCAGUGGGG